rfam:Trachymyrmex cornetzi contig52404, whole genome shotgun sequence.
AAAAUGGUCCUUUUCAGGACCAAUUAAUUUAAAGAGAAUUUAAUAA